UUUAAAAGCUGCCCGUGCGUCCGAUCUUGUCUGAUCUCGGAAGCUAAGCAGGGUCGGGCCUGGUUACUACUUGGAUGGGAGAUCAUAAAAGCUGCCCGUAUUUAGAA
rnacentral:rRNA from 1 species